CUCCAGUUGAUCGCAUGGUCUUCUGGGAAAGCUUUCGCGGUAUGGGAUGGGGUCGCGUCCUAUCAGCUUGACGGCGGGGUAACGGCCCACCGUGGCUUCGACGGGUAGCCGGCCUGAGAGGGCGACCGGCCACAUUGGGACUGAGAUACGGCCCAGACUCCUACGGGAGGCAGCAGUGGGGAAUAUUGCACAAUGGGCGCAAGCCUGAUGCAGCGACGCCGCGUGAGGGAUGGAGGCCUUCGGGUUGUAAACCUCUUUUAUCGGGGAGCAAGCGAGAGUGAGUUUACCCAUUGAAUAAGCACCGGCUAACUACGUGCCAGCAGCCGCGGUAAUACGUAGGGUGCAAGCGUUAUCCGGAAUUAUUGGGCGUAAAGGGCUCGUAGGCGGUUCGUCGCGUCCGGUGUGAAAGUCCAUCGCUUAACGGGG
rnacentral:rRNA from 1 species